AUAAGAUCAACCACACACGAAAAAAAUAUCAAGAUGGAGAACCACCACCAAAAAGCUACCAAUGGUUUCUCCAAACCAACCGAUUACAGUACAGCCGGAAGGGUCAUCACCUGCAAAGGUAAGGGGUUCAUUUUUUACAAGAAAUAUUCAUACUUUCUCAUUCUUUUAUGUCUAUUUUAUGAAACACUAAAACUUACAUGUGUUUGUGGUGGUGAAGCUGCUGUUGUAUGGGUUCCAGGAGAACCUUUUGUCAUGGAACAAGUUCAAGUCGAUCCACCUCAAAAAUUGGAAGUUCGAAUCAAGAUCCUCUUCACCUCAAUCUGCCAUACUGAUCUUAGUGCUUGGUUAGGAGAGGUAUGUAUAUAUGAUAUAUAAAUAUGUCUUUAAGUCGAUACACACACACACACACAUUAGUAUAUUUAAGCGAACCUUUCUUGUUACUUUUUUAUAGAAUGAAGCACAACGAGCCUUUCCUCGAAUAUUAGGCCAUGAAGCUUCCGGGUAAGUCAUGUCUAGCACCAGUUUACAGUACAUAUAACACUGAACUUAUAGAUAACAAUAUCAACUAAAUAUCGAUCAAAAUAUCAAUCAAACCAUUAAUCUUACCCUUUUUAGAAUUAAACCCCUCAAGUUAAUCUUUUUCUAUUUGUUGGGAAAUGAACAGAAUUGUUGAGAGUGUGGGUGAAGGUGUGAUGGACAUAAAAGAAGGGGACCAUGUGGUACCAAUUUUCAACGGAGAGUGUGGCGAGUGCAAGUGUUGCAAGUCUGAGAAAACCAAUAUUUGCAGCAACUCUGGAGUGAACGGAUUUAAGAAGGUGAUGACUAACGAUGGAAAAAGUAGGUUUUCGACCAAAGAUGGAAAAGCAAUUUACCAUUUUCUCAACACUUCAACUUUCAGUGAGUAUACAGUGCUUGAAUCUGCUUGUGUUGUGAAGAUCGACCCUGAGGCUCCUAUGAAGAAGAUGACCUUGCUAAGUUGUGGUGUUUCAACUGGUAA
rnacentral:lncRNA from 1 species